rnacentral:misc_RNA from 1 species
GAUGAAGAACGCAGCGAAAUGCGAUAAGUAAUGUGAAUUGCAGAAUUCAGUGAAUCAUCGAAUCUUUGAACGCACAUUGCGCCCUCUGGUAUUCCGGAGGGCAUGCCUGUUCGAGCGUCAUUACAACCCUCAGGCCCCCGGGCCUGGCGUUGGGGAUCGGCGGAAGCCCCCUGCGGGCACAACGCCGUCCCCCAAAUACAGUGGCGGUCCCGCCGCAGCUUCCAUUGCGUAGUAGCUAACACCUCGCAACUGGAGAGCGGCGCGGCCACGCCGUAAAACACCCAACUUCUGAAUGUUGACCUCGAAUCAGGUAGGAAUACCCGCUGAACUUAAGCAUAUCAAUAAGCGGAGGA